rnacentral:rRNA from 1 species
GAGUUUGAUCAUGGCUCAGGAUGAACGCUGGCUGUGUGCCUAAUACAUGCAUGUCGAACGAAGCACUUGUGCUUAGUGGCAAAUGGGUGAGUAACACGUACUUAAUCUACCUUUGAGAUUGGAAUAACAUUUGGAAACAACUGCUAAUACCAAAUAUGUAAUCAUUUCGCAUGAAUUGAUUAUAAAAGAAGCGUUUGCUUCGCUUAAAGAUGAGAGUGCGUUACAUUAGAUAGUUGGUAAGGUAAUGGCUUACCAAGUCAAUGAUGUAUAGCGGGGUCGAGAGGCUGAACCGCCACACUGGGACUGAGAUACGGCCCAGACUCCUACGGGAGGCAGCAGUAGGGAAUAUUCCACAAUGAACGAAAGUUUGAUGGAGCGACACAGUGUGCAGGAUGACGGUCUUUAGGGAUUGUAAAACUGACUG